GUUUACACAAUCUAUUCCUCCCCAUGAUUUUGUACACCUAAGAUCACCUCUCAUUCUCCAAGGAAUAGAGUCCUAGCUUGUUCAACCUCUCCCUUUAGCUCAGGCCCUCGAGUCUUGGCAACGUCCUCGUAAAUCUUUUCUGCAUCCUUUGCAGCUUGACAACAUCUUUCCUAUAACAUGGUGCCCAGAACUGAACACAAUCCUCUAAAUGUGGUCUCACCAAUGUCUUAUAUAACUGCAACAUCUCCUCCCAACUUCUAUACUCAAUACUCUGACUGAUGAAGGCCAACGAACCAAAACGCUUUUUGACCACAUUAUCUGCCUGUGAAUAUAGACAAAAUGCUUUUUUUUUUUGCCGGUAGAUGUCCAUGAGGGGGAGGUCCAGCAUCUGCAGUUCCUUCUUAAGCAUUUUAUCUGCCCGUGAUGCCAUUUUCAAGGAACUAGGCACCUGCACUCCUAGAUCCCAUUCUCAGUGUAGGUCCUGCCCGUGUUAGACUUCCCAAAAUGCAACCGUCACAUUUCUCUGUAUUAAAAUCCAUUAACCAUUCCUCAGCCCACCUGGCCAACUGAUCAAGAUCUUGAUGCAAUUUUUGAUAACCAUCUUCACUAUCUACUAUAUCACCGAUUACAAUGUUAUCUGCAAACUUCCUAAUCAAGCCCUUUAUGUUCUCAUCCAAAUCAUUGAUAUAGAUGGCAAUGGGCCCAGCACCGAACCCUGAGACACACCACUAAUUGCAGGCUUCCAAUCUGAGACGCAACCUUCCACCAUCACCCUCUGGUCCCCUUAAUUUACCCCAACAAUAGAGCAUCCUUGAAUUCUGGCCACUAGUGGAAACAUCAUCCUUUGUCCCCGAGAACCAGAGAAUCGAAGAGAGUCGUCAUCGGCAGAUGCAAGAGCAUAGGGCCGCUGAGAGGAACUAAGGUCUUCCCUUCCGCAUCCUCGAGGUUAGCUGCAGGAGGUGCCCCAGGACACAAGGGCUGAACAGUGGCCAUGCAAGAAGAGGGGCAACUGUUUGCUGGCCGAUCCGGAUCAAAGCGAUAGCUGGAGGCCCUGCAGCAGCCUGUGGAUCGAUUAGAUCGGGCACCACCCCAGGAGACCGAGCUCGCAGACUGGACAUAUGGCCUGCAGCGGCACAGAGCGCUGGAGCAGCAGUGGAAAAUGCUUACAGCUUUGCUCGGCCGGGCCGACCCUGCAACGCCACCAGGACAACGCGACUUUAUGGUCAUCGGGACUUAAAACAACUUGGACUUUGAAAAUGGCACAAAACCUGGCGACUCUUGUAUUUGGUCUCAGUGAACUAUUUCAACUUUGUAUUUUGUACUUAAUCAGAGAUGGUGCUAAUGUAUAGUAAUACUGGAUUGUAUGCAAUAAAAGAGGUCUCACUGUACCUCUGUACAUGUGAUAAUAAAGAACCAUUGAUUUGAACC